rnacentral:rRNA from 1 species
UACGUAGGGGGCGAGCGUUGUCCGGAUUUAUUGGGCGUAAAGAGCUCGUAGGCGGCUCGUCGCGUCGACCGUGAAAACCCGCAGCUUAACUGCGGGCUUGCGGUUGAUACGGGCGGGCUAGAGUUCGGUAGGGGAGACUGGAAUUCCUGGUGUAGCGGUGAAAUGCGCAGAUAUCAGGAGGAACACCGGUGGCGAAGGCGGUUCUCUGGGCCGAUACUGACGCUGAGGAGCGAAAGCGUGGGGAGCGAACAGG